UAAGGAAUCUUCCACAAUGGGGGCAACCCUGAUGGAGCAACGCCGCGUGCAGGAUGAAGGCUUUCGGGUCGUAAACUGCUUUUAUGAGUGAAGAAUAUGAUGGUAACUCAUGAAUAAGGAUCGGCUAACUACGUGCCAGCAGCCGCGGUCAUACGUAGGAUCCGAGCGUUAUCCGGAGUGACUGGGCGUAAAGAGUUGCGUAGGUGGUUAGUAAAGCGAAUAGUGAAACCUGGUGGCUCAACCAUUCAGACUAUUAUUCGAACUCACUAACUCGAGAGUAGCAGAGGUAACUGGAAUUUCUAGUGUAGGAGUGAAAUCCGUAGAUAUUAGAAGGAACACCAAUGGCGUAGGCAGGUUACUGGGCUAUUUCUGACACUGAGGCACGAAAGCGUGGGGAGCGAA
rnacentral:rRNA from 1 species